rnacentral:rRNA from 1 species
GAAAUGGGCAUUUGUGACUGCACGGCUAGAGUGUGUCAGAGGGGGGGUAGAAUUCCACGUGUAGCAGUGAAAUGCGUAGAGAUGUGGAGGAAUACCGAUGGCGAAGGCAGCCCCCUGGGAUAACACUGACGCUCAUGCACGAAAGCGUGGGGAGCAAACAGGAUUAGAUACCCUGGUAGUCCACGCCCUAAACGAUGUCUACUAGUUGUCGGGUCUUAAUUGACUUGGUAACGCAGCUAACGCGUGAAGUAGACCGCCUGGGGAGUACGGUCGCAAGAUUAAAACUCAAAGGAAUUGACGGGGACCCGCACAAGCGGUGGAUGAUGUGGAUUAAUUCGAUGCAACGCGAAAAACCUUACCUACCCUUGACAUGUACGGAAUCCUUCAGAGAUGAGGGAGUGCUCGAAAGAGAACCGUAACACAGGUGCUGCAUGGCUGUCGUCAGCUCGUG